GCAUAUCAAUAAGCGGAGGAAAAGAAACUAACAAGGAUUCCCCUAGUAACUGCGAGUGAAGCGGGAAGAGCUCAAAUUUUAAAUCUGGCGGUCCUCGUGGUCGUCCGAGUUGUAAUCUAGAGAAGCGUUUUCCGCGCUGGACCGUGUACAAGUCUCCUGGAACGGAGCGUCAUAGAGGGUGAGAAUCCCGUCUCUGACACGGACUACCAGGGCUUUUGUGAUGCGCUCUCGACGAGUCGAGUUGUUUGGGAAUGCAGCUCAAAUUGGGUGGUAAAYUCCAUCUAAAGCUAAAUAUAGGCGAGAGACCGAUAGCGAACAAGUACCGUGAGGGAAAGAUGAAAAGAACUUUGGAAAGAGAGUUAAACAGUACGUGAAAUUGCUGAAAGGGAAACGCUUGAAGUCAGUCGCGUUGGCCGGGGAUCAGCCUUGCAAUCUUGUUGGGUGCAUUUCCUGGUUGACGGGUCAGCAUCAAUYUUGACCGUCGGAGAAGGGUUGAGGGAAUGUGGCAUCCUUCGGGGUGUGUUAUAGCCUUUGAUCGUAUGCGACGGUUGGGAUUGAGGAACUCAGCAUGACCCCUCGUGGGUUUGGGGCUUCGGCUCACAUCYAUGCUUAGGAUGCUGGCAUAAUGGCUUUAAGCGACCCGUCUUGAAACACGGACC
rnacentral:rRNA from 1 species